CCCUUAGAUGUUCUGGGCUGCACGCGCGCUACACUGCCACACCCAGCGAGUCUCCUGCCCUGACAGGGUUGGGUAAUCAUUGGAGUGUGUGUCGUGAUGGGGAUAGAGUAUUGCAAUUAUUGCUCUCGAACGAGGAAUUCCUAGUAAGCACAAGUCAGCAGCUUGUGCUGAUUACGUCCCUGCCCUUUGUACACACCGCCCGUCGCUCCUACCGAGGGGGUGAUCCGGUGAAUGAUUCGGACUUUGGCGUUUCUAGCUGCUAGCAGCGCUGAAGAAAGUUUUGUGAACCUUAUCACUUGGAGGAAGGAGAAGUCGUAACA
rnacentral:rRNA from 1 species